GAUGAAGAACGUAGCGAAAUGCGAUAAGUAAUGUGAAUUGCAGAAUUCAGUGAAUCAUCGAAUCUUUGAACGCACAUUGCGCCCCUUGGUAUUCCGAGGGGCAUGCCUGUUCGAGCGUCAUUAUAACCCCUCAAGCUCAGCUUGGUGUUGGGGCCUGCUGCUCUGGCAGCCCUUAAAAUCAGUGGCGGCGCCAUCUGGCUCUAAGCGUAGUAAUUCUUCUCGCUAUGGAGUCCUGGUGGAUGCUUGCCAUCAACCCCCAAUUUUUCUAUGGUUGACCUCGGAUCAGGUAGGGAUACCCGCUGAACUUAAGCAUAUCAAUAAGCGGAGGA
rnacentral:misc_RNA from 1 species